rnacentral:rRNA from 1 species
ACUCAAAUGAAUUGACGGGGGCCCGCACAAGCGGUGGAUCAUGUGGUUUAAUUCGACGCAACGCGAAGAACCUUACCUGGGCUUGAACUACCGGUAGUAGGCGCUUGGAAACAGGCGACGAACCGUCAAGUCGGUUGCCGGCAGAGGUGCUGCAUGGCUGUCGUCAGCUCGUGUCGUGAGAUGUUGGGUUAAGUCCCGCAACGAGCGCAACCCCCAUUCCGUGUUGCCACCCCCGCAAGGGGCGCACUCUCGGGAGACUGCCUCGGAUAACGGGGAGGAAGGUGGGGACGACGUCAAGUCAUCAUGGCCUUUAUGUCCAGGGCUACACACGUGAUACAAUGGCCGGUACAGAGGGAUGCAAUACCGCAAGGUGGAGCCAACCCCACAAAGCCGGCCCCAGUUCAGAUUGUGGGCUGCAAUUCGCCCACAUGAAGUCGGAAUCGCUAGUAAUCGCAGAUCAGCAGGCUGCGGUGAAUACGUUCCCGGGCCUUGUACACACCGCCCGU